CGGCCCGUAGCUCAACGGUUAGAGCAGGAAACUCAUAAUUUCUUGGUUCUCGGUUCGAAUCCGGGCGGGCCGA
rnacentral:tRNA from 1 species